GUUAAAAGCGGGGCGGAGACCUAGUUAGUAUGUAGGUUCAAAGUUUUAACCGGAGUUAUUGGGGGUAAAGAGAGCGCGUACGGUUAGUUAAGGCAGAAGUGAAAGCCCUCAGAUGAACUGAGGAAUUGCGUUGGAAACUGGAGGACUUGAGUGCAGUAGAGGAAAGUGGAACUCCAUGUGUAGCGGUGAAAUGCGUAGAUAUAUGGAAGAACACCAGUGGCGAAGGCGGCUUUCUGGACUGUAACUGACGUUGAGGCUCGAAAGUGUGGGUAGCAAACAGGAUUAGAUACCCUUGUAGUC
rnacentral:rRNA from 1 species